CCCGCUGGCCGGACGGGGCACAAUAUGCCCGGGCCAUGCUGAAAGCCGUCCCCAGGGACGAGAAGGAGGCGAUCCCUGGGAUCAACUCCUUUAAUGCCGACCGGGUGCUGGUCGACCUGGCCGACGCUAUGCUGCGCGUAGAGGGGCUCAAACGAGCUUAUACCCGCAAGUCUGAGGAGGCGGAGAAGACCAAAGCCCUCCAACAGCAGAUUGAUCAGCUGAAAAACCAAGUUGACCAACUGCAGGCGUC